AGCUUUGCGCAGUGGCAGUAUCGUAGCCAAUGAGGUUUAUCCGAGGCGCGAUUAUUGCUAAUUGAAAACUUUUCCCAAUACUCCACUGUGACGACUUGAAAUACAGUCGGCAUUGGCAAUUUUUGAUGCUCCCUAUGGGGA
ensembl:snRNA U4 U4 spliceosomal RNA